UUUUAAUAUGAGAGUUUGAUCCUGGCUCAGAACGAACGCUGGCGGCAGGCUUAACACAUGCAAGUUGAACGUGAUUUGCUGGGUGCUUGCACCGAGCAAUGAAAGUAGCGCACUGGUGAGUAACACGUGGGAACGUACCUUUUGGUGGGGAACAACAGUUGGAAACGACUGCUAAUACCG
rnacentral:rRNA from 1 species